rnacentral:sRNA from 1 species
CGCGCCUGGGCGCUAAGAUGGCGGCGGCGUGAGUUGCAUGUUGUGUGAGGAUCCCGGGGCCGCCGCGUCGCUCGGGCCCCGCCAUGGCCGUCACCAUCACGCUCAAAACGCUGCAGCAGCAGACCUUCAAGAUCCGCAUGGAGCCUGACGAGACGGUGAAGGUGCUAAAGGAGAAGAUAGAAGCUGAGAAGGGUCGUGAUGCCUUCCCCGUGGCUGGACAGAAACUCAUCUAUGCCGGCAAGAUCUUGAGUGACGAUGUCCCUAUCAGGGACUAUCGCAUCGAUGAGAAGAACUUUGUGGUCGUCAUGGUGACCAAGACCAAAGCCGGCCAGGGUACCUCAGCACCCCCAGAGGCCUCACCCACAGCUGCCCCAGAGUCCUCUACAUCCUUCCCGCCUGCCCCCACCUCAGGCAUGUCCCAUCCCCCACCUGCCGCCAGAGAGGACAAGAGCCCAUCAGAGGAAUCCGCCCCCACGACGUCCCCAGAGUCUGUGUCAGGCUCUGUUCCCUCUUCAGGUAGCAGCGGGCGAGAGGAAGACGCGGCCUCCACGCUAGUGACGGGCUCUGAGUAUGAGACGAUGCUGACGGAGAUCAUGUCCAUGGGCUAUGAGCGAGAGCGGGUCGUGGCCGCCCUGAGAGCCAGCUACAACAACCCCCACCGAGCCGUGGAGUAUCUGCUCACGGUGAGGUGGGGCUUCCGCCUCGCGGGGAGGCCUUGAGGGAGUACCCAGGCGUCACUGCCCUGAUGGGCGGUUGGGAAGGCAAAACCUGCCCUGAAAAGCCUUUGGGUAGUGAUUCUAGCCACUAAAGGCUUCCCACAGGAGGCUGGAUGUGAGUGAUAGGUGGGCCUCUGGAGGGCAGGGCCGAGGCCUCAUCUGUGUCCUGCCAGGGCAUGGAGGAGGGUGGCAGCAGGAGGUAUGUGCAUUAGAACUAAACAGGACCCCUGACAGGGAAUUCCUGGGAGCCCCGAGCCAGAACACGGUUCUGUCCAGGAGAGCCAGGUAUCGGAGCAGCCGGCCACGGAAGCAGGAGAG